rnacentral:rRNA from 1 species
AACGAACGCUGGCGGCAUGCCUAACACAUGCAAGUCGAACGAGUGCCUUCGGGUGCUAGUGGCGCACGGGUGCGUAACGCGUGGGAAUCUGCCCUUAGGUUCGGAAUAACAGCUGGAAACGGCUGCUAAUACCGGAUGAUAUCGCGAGAUCAAAAAUUUAUCGCCUGAGGAUGAGCCCGCGUUGGAUUAGGUAGUUGGUGGGGUAAAGGCCUACCAAGCCGACGAUCCAUAGCUGGUCUGAGAGGAUGAUCAGCCACACUGGGACUGAGACCCGGCCCAGACUCGUACGGGAGGCAGCAGUGGGGAAUAUUGGACAAUGGGCGAAAGCCUGAUCCAGCAAUGCGGCGGGAGUGAUGAAGGCCCUAGGGUUGUAAAGCUCUUUUACCCGGGAAGAUAAUGACUGUACCGGGAGAAUAAGCCCCGGCUAACUCCGUGCCAGCCGCCGCCGUAA